CCUACGGGUGGCAACAGUGAGGAAUAUUGGUCAAUGGGCGGGAGCCUGAACCAGCCAAGUCGCGUGAGGGAAGACGGUCCUAUGGAUUGUAAACCUCUUUAGGCGGGGAGCAAUGCCGGGCACGCGUGCCCGGAGGGAGAGUACCCGCAGAAUAAGCAUCGGCUAACUCCGUGCCAGCAGCCGCGGUAAUACGGAGGAUGCGAGCGUUAUCCGGCUUUAUUGGGUUAAAAGGGUGCGUAGGCGGAGUUUUAAGUCAGCGGUAAAAUGUCCGGGCUCAACCCGGGCCGGCCGUUGAAACUGGGGAGCUUGAGUGGGCGAGAAGUAUGUGGAAUGCGUGGUGUAGCGGUGAAAUGCAUAGAUAUCACGCAGAACUCCGAUUGCGAAGGCAGCAUACCGGCGCCCGACUGACGCUGAGGCACGAAAGCGUGGGGAUCGAACAGGAUUAGAUACCCCAGUAGUC
rnacentral:rRNA from 1 species